rnacentral:rRNA from 1 species
UGGGGAAUAUUGGACAAUGGGGGCAACCCUGAUCCAGCAAUGCCGCGUGAGUGAUGAAGGCCUUCGGGUUGUAAAGCUCUUUCACCCACGACGAUGAUGACGGUAGUGGGAGAAGAAGCCCCGGCUAACUUCGUGCCAGCAGCCGCGGUAAUACGAAGGGGGCUAGCGUUGUUCGGAGUUACUGGGCGUAAAGGGCGCGUAGGCGGCCUGGUCAGUCUGGUGUGAAAGCCCGGGGCUCAACCCCGGAAUUGCACUGGAGACGGCCAAGCUUGAGUGUGGGAGAGGAUGGUGGAAUUCCCAGUGUAGAGGUGAAAUUCGUAGAUAUUGGGAAGAACACCGGUGGCGAAGGCGGCCAUCUGGACCAUUACUGACGCUGAGGCGCGAAAGCGUGGGGAGCAAACAGG